rnacentral:rRNA from 1 species
UAGGGAAUCUUCGGCAAUGGACGGAAGUCUGACCGAGCAACGCCGCGUGAGUGAAGAAGGUUUUCGGAUCGUAAAGCUCUGUUGUAGGAGAAGAACGAGUGUGAGAGUGGAAAGUUCACACUGUGACGGUAUCUUACCAGAAAGGGACGGCUAACUACGUGCCACCAGCCGCGGUAAUACGUAGGUCCCGAGCGUUGUCCGGAUUUAUUGGGCGUAAAGCGAGCGCAGGCGGUUAGAUAAGUCUGAAGUUAAAGGCUGUGGCUUAACCGUAGUACGCUUUGGAAACUGUUUAACUUGAGUGCAGGAGGGGAGAGUGGAAUUCCAUGUGUAGCGGUGAAAUGCGUAGAUAUAUGGAGGAACACCGGUGGCGAAAGCGGCUCUCUGGCUUGUAACUGACGCUGAGGCUCGAAAGCGUGGGGAGCAAACAGGAUUAGAUACCCUGGUAGUCCACGCCGUAAACGAUGAGUGCUAGGUGUUAGACCCUUUCCGGGGUUUAGUGCCGCAGCUAACGCAUUAAGCACUCCGCCUGGGGAGUACGACCGCAAGGUUG